AGAGUUUGAUCCUGGCUCAGAUUGAACGCUGGCGGCAUGCCUUACACAUGCAAGUCGAACGGUAACGCGGGGCAACCUGGCGACGAGUGGCGAACGGGUGAGUAAAGCAUCGGAACGUGCCCAGUAGUGGGGGAUAGCCCGGCGAAAGCCGGAUUAAUACCGCAUACGACCUACGGGUGAAAGGGGGGGAUCGCAAGACCUCUCGCUAUUGGAGCGGCCGAUGUCAGAUUAGGUAGUUGGUGGGGUAAAGGCCUACCAAGCCGACGAUCUGUAGCUGGUCUGAGAGGACGACCAGCCACACUGGGACUGAGACACGGCCCAGACUCCUACGGGAGGCAGCAGUGGGGAAUUUUGGACAAUGGGCGCAAGCCUGAUCCAGCCAUGCCGCGUGCGGGAAGAAGGCCUUCGGGUUGUAAACCGCUUUUGUCAGGGAAGAAAUCUUCUGGGUUAAUACCUCGGGAGGAUGACGGUACCUGAAGAAUAAGCACCGGCUAACUACGUGCCAGCAGCCGCGGUAAUACGUAGGGUGCAAGCGUUAAUCGGAAUUACUGGGCGUAAAGCGUGCGCAGGCGGUUUUGUAAGACAGAGGUGAAAUCCCCGGGC
rnacentral:rRNA from 1 species